ACCUUUCAAAUCAGGGUGCGGCGCGGCCCCCGAGGAGCGGAAACAAUCCUUGGGAGGUAUGCGGGGGUUUCGAGCCCCCCAUUUACGCACGCACGACUGCCAUCCUUACUUUACGAGCACCUUCUGUUCUCCCUCGGCGGGGCAACCUGCCGUUGGAACCGAAUAAACUCUUUUUGCAUCUAGCAUUACCUGUUCCGAAACAAACAAUCGUUA
rnacentral:misc_RNA from 1 species